rnacentral:rRNA from 1 species
GAAUCUUCCACAAUGGACGAAAGUCUGAUGGAGCAAUGCCGCGUGAGCGAAGAAGGUUUUCGGAUCGUAAAGCUCUGUUGUAAGGGAAGAACACGUACGGGAGUAACUGCCCGUACCUUGACGGUACCUUAUUAGAAAGCAACGGCUAACUACCUUCCAGCAGCCGCGGUAAUACGUAGGUGGCAAGCGUUGUCCGGAAUUAUGGGGCGGAAAGCGCGGGCAGGCGGUCCUUUAAGUCUGAGGUGAAAGCCCACGGCUCAACCGGGGAGGGUCAUUGGAAACUGGGGGACUUGAGUACAGAAGAGGAAAGAGGAAUUCCACGUGUAGCGGUGAAAUGCGUAGAGAUGUGGAGGAACACCAGUGGCGAAGGCGGCUUUCUGGUCUGUAACUGACGCUGAGGCGCGAAAGCGUGGGGAGCAAACA